GAUGAAGAACGUAGUGAAAUGCGAUAAGUAAUGUGAAUUGCAGAAUUCCGUGAAUCAUCGAAUCUUUGAACGCACAUUGCGCCCCCUGGUAUUCCGAGGGGCAUGCCUGUUCGAGCGUCAUUAUCACCCCUCAAGCUCAGCUUGGUGUUGGGGCCGGCCCGUCACAGGGCCGCCCCUAAAAGCAGUGGCGGUGCCAUCUGGCUCUACGCGUAGUAAUACUCCUCGCGACAGAGUCCCGGUGGUGUCCUGCCAGAACCCCCCAUCUUUUUAAUGAUUGACCUCGGAUCAGGUAGGGAUACCCGCUGAACUUAAGCAUAUCAAUAAGCGGAGGA
rnacentral:misc_RNA from 1 species